rnacentral:rRNA from 1 species
GCCAGCAGCCAUGUCACCAUGCAACCCACUAAAGCUAAGCAGGUGUGAGUCUGGUCAGUACCUGGAUGGGAGACCUCCUGGGAAAACUAAGGUUGCUGCUGGAA